ACCUACGAGUCUUCAGAGGGUGACUACGAUGGCGACGUGGAACCCGGGGUUCUGAUGAGCGCACAGACCAUCACCUCGGAAACUACCAGCACCACCACGACCACGCACAUCACUAAGGCUCUGGCCCAGGCCAUAAAGGAGGCAACAAGAGCAGCACCCUGACAUGUAGUGACCAAAGUAGUGGUUCAUAAAGAGACAGAGAUCACACCUGAGGGAGAGGACUGACCCAGGAGUAAAGCCCAGGACAGAGUUUAAAUCCCCUGGUGGAAGGACUCCCCUCAAACCUCCAGCAUCCAACUCCCAACGUCAUGAUAGACUUCAUCACAUUACUGUGCUGCCUGCUGGGCCUGUUAAAACUACGGUGGAGACAGCCAGCCUAUUGUUCUACAGACAGUCUGCUCUAUAGAAAUACAAUCUAUAGAGCGGGCUUCCCCGUUCAAGUCAAUGAUGGCAUAAUAGAUUCUAAUUCUAUGCUCGGCGUUCUCUAUGGUCCCGAUCCUAAUCUGAGUUCCAUGUGCUUAAUUUGGUUUCACUGCCUAAAUCGUGAUGUCAAUGGGAGAUUAAAAGUCAAAAUGAGGUAGUUAAGAUUUAUGCCUAUCGUCAGUCCCAUCCGUCGUUAUAAAAAAAAAAAAUGUAUAUUUGCAUGAGCAGAAUGACGCAAUUAUUAUAAAAUAAUAAUAAUUAUCAAGAUUUACUGUGAGAUAAUAAACAAACAGGUUAUUUUAUCACUUGAACUCUCGCUGAGCUCUACAACAUGCAAAACGGUUGAUUCCAUUCACCGCCUUGCUAUCUAUUUAAGAUUAUAUUAUAAACAGUCUUUUUUUAUUUUAUUGUUUUGGGGUCAGUGUUGUUUUAUUUUAUUUAUGAAAUGAAAAUCCGUCACUCCGAGAAGAAAAAAAAGUUCAACUGCUGUAGGCUUUAUGUGACAUAUUAGAGCACACAACAAUAUUAUUCUAAUGACUUAGUAGAUGGUAGACCUCAAUGCCGCCUCACUCCACUCCCAUCGUCUCGGAUAGAAAUACAUUUAAAUCAACUUUUACGACAAAGCCCUGUACAUUUAUACGUGUUGUCCUGGGCAA